rnacentral:rRNA from 1 species
UACGGGGGGAGCAAGCGUUGUUCGGAUUUACUGGGCGUAAAGGGCGCGUAGGCGGCCACCGCAAGUCGACUGUGAAAUCUCCGGGCUUAACCCGGAAAGGUCAGCCGAUACUGCGGGGCUAGAGUGCAGAAGGGGCAACUGGAAUUCUCGGUGUAGCGGUGAAAUGCGUAGAUAUCGAGAGGAACACCAAUGGCGAAGGCAGCUCGCUGGGACGUGACUGACGCUGAGACGCGAAAGCGUGGGGAGCAAACAGG